GAUGAACGCUGGCGGCGUGCCUAAUACAUGCAAGUCGAGCGAACGGACGAGAAGCUUGCUUCUCUGAUGUUAGCGGCGGACGGGUGAGUAACACGUGGAUAACCUACCUAUAAGACUGGGAUAACUUCGGGAAACCGGAGCUAAUAACGGCUAAUAUUUUGAACCGCAUGGUUCAAAAGUGAAAGACGGUCUUGCUGUCACUUAUAGAUGGAUUCGCGCUGCAUUAGCUAGUUGGUAAGGUAACGGCAUACCAAGGCAACGAUGCAUAGCCGACCUGAGAGGGUGAUCAGCCACACUGGAACUGAGACACGGUCCAGACUCCUACGGGAGGCAGCAGUAGGGAAUCUUCGGCAAUGGGCGAAAGCCUGACGGAGCAACGCCGCGUGAGUGAUGAAGGUCUUCGGAUCGUAAAACUCUGUUAUUAGGGAAGAACAUAUGUGUAAGUAACUGUGCACAUCUUGACGGUACCUAAUCAGAAAGCCACGGCUAACUACGUG
rnacentral:rRNA from 1 species